AUUGGAUGUGGUGGUAAAUGUUCAGCCAUACACGGCAUUUGCUAUGUAGCCCUUGCCUAAUUUUGGCCCAUUGUGGAGAAAAUUUCAGAAUAGUACAUCUCACCAAAAUCUGAGCUCUCAAAAUUAAAAAUAGUAGAGCCUAUCCCCUCCUGUCUCUCUUUGUGAAUAUUGUCAAAAGAAGAUUAUCCUCGGAGUUUCCAAGGAGAGGCUGCAGGGCAUAUCAGUGAGGCUAGAGCAGUGGAUUUCAUUCAUCAGCAGGUGAUUGAACUACAUGGAGGUCCAACUCUAUGAUUACAGGUGUAGGAACCCCAAAUGCGGUUCAGACAAGUCCUCUAUGCUCUAAUCUGGGCCAAUUUAUCUGUCAACUGAGAAAUAGCAUAGGAGAAGUGUGAUGUGUCCAAUCGAUUUAGCAAAUGCAAUGAAGCAAGAGCUGUACAUAAUGUUCCAAGUGUGGGUGUACCUGCCACACGACAUCUCAUAUGCCCUAUGCAAGGAGGAUUUGUGUGCUAAUUAAGCAGGGCUAUCACUUAAGUAAAGAGAUGUUAAUGAGUUUUAAUAAAUGAUUCACUUAAAUGUCUUUUUUCUAUUAAAGGGAAGAUUUAUUUGUUUGUUUCUAGAUAAUGCACACAUGUACCACAGCAACCAAACAAAAAUCAUUAUGUCCACAGCUACAUAAAUAUUAAAAUGGAAAAAGUAAAUUGCUAAGCAUGUUGAGGGACUUUAAAGAAGAUUGGGGGCCAUUUUCGCCUGUGUGAACUGGAGCUUUUCAAGUGGUACCUGUGCCAUGUGCAACGGUUGCGAAGGCAGAAGAUAGCAUGGUUGUACACUCCCACCGAUAUAGGUUUUUCCAAUUCCAUUACAGAAGGCGGCUGCCCCAAAAGCACAUCAGCCACUCAUGUGAAAAUGCCCUUUGAUUUAAUGAGCUGUCUCCCUAAUAUAAUAAGCCCCUGUUAACUGGAACAAGUUCAUAAACUCCAGAUAGCAACUGGCAGCUGGGAGCAGCGACACAAGACUGGCUCUUUGCCACUUUUUACCAUGCCAGGACUGAGCGCCAAGGCCUGGUACAGACUGAUGAGUUUAGCCCACAGAAACAGUCCCGACUUGCUUCCCCCCUGAUUUUGCUGGGAAAGGACAAGCUAUUGUUUCCCUCAAAGCAAUUCCCUGAUGCAACUAAUAAGCUUUCAAAGGGGAUCAGUCACACUUGGCACUUCAUGGCUACUUGCUGGGCCACGACAGUUGCGUUUUCCGCUCAAGAUUGUUUGCAGUAUCUUUUUCCCAGGGCCUCAAGGAGUAAACAUUUGUAUAUCAGCCCAAGACCAAGAUGACAUAAUGUGACUGGACGGAUUUCAAGGACUUCCACUUUUAAAUUACGUAUUGCAUGGAUCUGCCUGAUCUGUGUGCCUGAAGCACAGUUGCAGAAAGACAGCAGUCCAUUUCCCCACCUGGAAUAUAAACAGGCCUUAUAACUUUGUAGUAUAAGUGCUUUGUAUUUCAGAGCUAUAUUGCGUAUUGGAAGCCUUUCAAAACCGAGAUGUUGAUGUAUUGUACUAAUUGAGCUGCCAGGGGAGUGGGGAUCGACGGAGUAAACACUUCUUAAUUGUUUACAUUUUCCCAUUAAUCAUUAAAAGUUUCCUGCAUAACAAA